GUGUCAGCCGCCGCGGUAAAACGUAGGUGGCGAGCGUUAUCCGGAUUUACUGGGCGUAAAGCGUGUGCAGGCGGACGGGCAAGUGGUGUAUGAAAGCUCCAGGCUUAACCUGGAGAGGUUAUGCCAGACUGCACGUCUUGAGGCAGAGAGAGGGACAUGGAAUUCCGGGUGUAGUGGUGAAAUGCGUAGAGAUCCGGAGGAACUCCAGAGGCGAAGGCGGUGUCCUGGCUCUGACCUGACGCUCAGACACGAAAGCAUGGGGAGCGAACGGGAUUAGAAACCCUCGUAGUCC
rnacentral:rRNA from 1 species